UCUUGAAACCAGCCAUUAGCAAGCUGCAAGUGGAAAAUUACCCCUCCUCCCCCCCCAAGUCCUGGCUUUUCAAAAAGGGAGAGGUUAAAAAAACAUUUUAAAUCCUUCAAUGCAAAUGUGCUUGGAGCAUUGUGUGUACCUGAGACAAGGAGCAGCACACAUCCCCUGCUGCGCAGUGAAAAAGAAGCUACAGGCGUGCUGUGUUAUCAAGAAUAUUGCAGAACCGGCUCCCCAGAAAAGAGUGGAAAACUUGUACGUCAGUCCACCAAAUGGCCACCUUCCCGAAGAAGCAGAGGCUGUAGGGUCCUUGGGAGGAAGGGCUGGAACCCAGCACUCCCGUUCUGGGCAAGCAGGGUGAGAGGAUCCAGGCCAGGUGACAAGGAUAGAUCCAUCAUGUCAAUGUUUCCCAUUAUCUUGGCUCCCCACUGAUUGGAGUCAAUACACAAAGAGCAAAAUUACAAAUGAACAGCCAUAGAGAACCAUCUGCUGGAAGAAAAAGGCAUAUAACUGGAAUAAUUAUUCAGCUGGCUCCAUGAACUGCUUUUGGCCAAGGGGCCUUCCAAAUGUCCAUGUUCACUUCCGAGAAAGGGGACGCCUCAGCUGAGACUGGGAAGAGCAAUGGGGCAUGGGGUACAGGAGCAGCUCAGCCGGGACCGCUGCAGCCACAGUAUUUUAUGCAUACAAUGUAAGAAAUAAUGAAACUUACUUUUUUGCUUUCAUUGAGCACCUCUAUCCUAAGUGGGAGACAAAUAAUGUCUCUUCCAGGUCUGAGAUGAAGACCUCCUCAGUCUGAUAUCCACUGGGACCCUGGCUCAGCAGUGACAAGGCAGUAGCAUUUCUGUUGGAUACCAAAGAAGAAAGAGAAUCUUAGCCCUUAAUUUAUUGUGUUCAGCUACCUUCCCAACAACACUGCCUCCACAGAAAUGGGGAGAAAAAAAAUAUCAGAGGAGCAUUUCAUUAGCAUAUGAGGAAAGAAAUUCAAUACAGAUGACAUUUGCUUUGCAAAGCAAUAAACUAGGUUCAAUCUGUUUAACUGUUAGGUAC
rnacentral:lncRNA from 1 species